GAUGAAGAACGCAGUGAAAUGCGAUAAGUAAUGUGAAUUGCAGAAUUCAGUGAAUCAUCGAAUCUUUGAACGCACAUUGCGCCCGCCAGUAUUCUGGCGGGCAUGCCUGUCUGAGCGUCAUUUCAACCCUCAUGCCCCUAGGGCGUGUGUUGGGGAUCGGCCAAAGCCCGCGAGGGACGGCCGGCCCCUAAAUCUAGUGGCGGACCCGUCGUGGCCUCCUCUGCGAAGUAGUGAUAUUCCGCAUCGGAGAGCGACGAGCCCCUGCCGUUAAACCCCCAACUUUCCAAGGUUGACCUCAGAUCAGGUAGGAAUACCCGCUGAACUUAAGCAUAUCAAUAAGCGGAGGA
rnacentral:misc_RNA from 1 species